ensembl:miRNA mir-49 ncRNA
AAGCACCACGAGAAGCUGCAGA